GGCAUUCACUUCAUGGACCUCCCUAUGAUC
rnacentral:piRNA from 1 species